rnacentral:lncRNA from 1 species
UCAAUCCCAUCUUGACACACGCACCGACAAGUCAAGUACUUGACUACACCCAGUAGCCUUCCAUCACUGAAUUAGAAAUUCAAGUAGUCCAGUGCCUAAGUGUAGUGAGUUGCUUGCAAGUCACUGUGGCGGUCUUAGGUCGGAGGGACAGUUAUACCCAUAUCCCAUCGGAGCAAAUCUUGACAGCAGAAAUAGCUUCGGAGUCAUCACAUUU